rnacentral:piRNA from 1 species
UUAGUCACUACUGUUUUAGUGGAUCAAAUC